rnacentral:rRNA from 1 species
AGAGUUUGAUCCUGACUCAGGAUGAACGCUGGCGGCGUGCUUAACACAUGCAAGUCGAACGGGAAUUACUUUAUUGAAACUUCGGUCGAUUUAAUUUAAUUCUAGUGGCGGACGGGUGAGUAACGCGUGGGUAACCUGCCUUAUACAGGGGGAUAACAGUCAGAAAUGGCUGCUAAUACCGCAUAAGCGCACAGAGCUGCAUGGCUCAGUGUGAAAAACUCCGGUGGUAUAAGAUGGACCCGCGUUGGAUUAGCUAGUUGGUGGGGUAACGGCCCACCAAGGCGACGAUCCAUAGCCGGCCUGAGAGGGUGAACGGCCACAUUGGGACUGAGACACGGCCCAGACUCCUACGGGAGGCAGCAGUGGGGAAUAUUGCACAAUGGGGGAAACCCUGAUGCAGCGACGCCGCGUGAAGGAAGAAGUAUCUCGGUAUGUAAACUUCUAUCAGCAGGGAAGAUAGUGACGGUACCUGACUAAGAAGCCCCGGCUAACUACGUGCCAGCAGCCGCGGUAAUACGUAGGGGGCAAGCGUUAUCCGGAUUUACUGGGUGUAAAGGGAGCGUAGACGGUGUGGCAAGUCUGAUGUGAAAGGCAUGGGCUCAACCUGUGGACUGCAUUGGAAACUGUCAUACUUGAGUGCCGGAGGGGUAAGCGGAAUUCCUAGUGUAGCGGUGAAAUGCGUAGAUAUUAGGAGGAACACCAGUGGCGAAGGCGGCUUACUGGACGGUAACUGACGUUGAGGCUCGAAAGCGUGGGGAGCAAAUAGGAUUAGAUACCCUGGUAGUCCACGCCGUAAACGAUG